GACUCGGUAGCACGCGGGGUGCGCCCGCUCUCCGUGAUGUUGAUACUAGAAGACACUUUACGCGGAAGGUCCUGGUUCGACUCCAGGCUGGGUCA